rnacentral:rRNA from 1 species
UACGUAGGGUGCGAGCGUUGGCCGGAAUUACUGGGCGUAAAGAGCUCGUAGGUGGUUUGUCGCGUUGUCCGUGAAAACUCACAGCUUAACUGUGGGCGUGCGGGCGAUACGGGCAGACUGGAGUACUGCAGGGGAGACUGGAAUUCCUGGUGUAGCGGUGAAAUGCGCAGAUAUCAGGAGGAACACCGAUGGCGAAGGCAGGUCUCUGGGCCAUAACUGACGCUGAGAAGCGAAAGCAUGGGGAGCGAACAGG